rnacentral:rRNA from 1 species
UACAGAGGUCUCAAGCGUUGUUCGGAUUCAUUGGGCGUAAAGGGUGCGUAGGCGGCGCGGUAAGUCGGGUGUGAAAUCUUGGAGCUUAACUCCGAAACUGCAUUCGAUACUGCCGUGCUUGAGGACUGGAGAGGAGACUGGAAUUUACGGUGUAGCGGUGAAAUGCGUAGAUAUCGUAAGGAAGACCAGUGGGCGAAGGCGGGGUCUCUGGAACAGUUCCUGACGCUGGAGGCACGAAGGCCAGGGGAGCAAACGGG